UGUCUUCCAACCACCUUUAACUCCAGACCCAGGGAAUCUGGUGCCAUCCUCUGGACUCUUCAAGAAUCUAUACCAAUUUGGAACUCCUGUUUACAUUUUGGUGCUCAACAAGGCCAGAACAUUAACAUCAGGACAGGGGCAAAUUGCCCCACAUGGACCCCUGAGAAAGCCACCAGCUCUCGUGGACUUGCUCAUUCAAGUAAGCUGCUCCUGACUCCCUGCUCCUGCACUCCACUCGGUGUCAGUGGCUUACACUAUGCCUAGAACCUUUUUCUUUGUGUUUGGUGCUUUGACCCAGUCUUUAUUUCUACUAAAGGAACACGCCCCAGACCUCAGUAUUUCCUGGAGCUAGCAUACCCGAUCCAGCCCACGCAUUCUGAUCGGCGAUUGGCCGAUCAGUGCAAGCAGGUUGCACUUUUUUCCCUUUAUCUGUAACACAAAUCUAUUAGGUUUGGUUUUGUGUGGAUGUUUGCUUAGAAUGCAAAAGUUGGACAACAUUCGGACAAGUCAGACCAGAGGAGCUUCAGUGUCAUUGGACUUCCUUUGGCAGCACACCUAUGACACCUGCUGGCCAAACAUCAUCAUUGCAAUUUAAGAUAAGGCCAUAAGAGGCACAGACGAUCUUCUAAGGAUUUGAGGUUUGAGUCUCUAUCAGUUUUCUACAAUGAUACCAUGACCAUGCCUAACAUUGACCUUUGAAGUCUCCAAAAGGAGGAUGGGGCCAUAAAAUGACAAUUUCACCAGGAUUAUCACAACACCAUUAUGCUGAACAACACCAACUAAAGAUCAGCUUUGGACUACAAAAUGCUCACAAUUCGAGAUGACUUGCUGAGAUUAUCCAGCCUCACAGACACUGCUUGGAACAAUUUCAAGGUGGCUAUCUGAGGUUAUUCAGCCUCACAGACUACUUUGGUUCACAGAAAUGUCUGUUAGAUAUGCUAGGCCUAUAGGCCAAAGAUGGAUGCCCCAACAUUACAGAGCAACCUUGGGUGACUGUCCAAGUAGCCAAUUGUUUCUGUCAUUUCUCACAUUUUUGAAAGUCUCUUGCUCAUACUUCCUGUUUACUCAAUUAAUAUUAUUUUUCUUCUUGGGUCUCUGAGGGAGUUGAAGACUAGAUAAAAUAGUUACAGUUUUCCUUGUUUACCAGGUUCAUUAAAGAAAUUCACUAGCGAUGUAUUAAGUAUAAUAGGUUUGAAAGACAUUAAAAGAUAAUUUGAUAAUGCAAAUUAGAAUAGAAAGUAAAUUAGGUACAAGAUUUGCACUCAUUCAGAAAGAAUAGAUAAUGUAGUAUUUUCUCUGAAUUUGUCAAAUGCUAAUGGACUAGACAUUGUUAAUGUACUUAUUUCCUGUACUGUUGGGCCUUAAAAGGCUCAGAUGUGAGGCCCAGUAUAACCUCCUGAGCCUGGCUAGCGUUUGGCGACCUGUCUCUGGCCUGUAGUAACCUCCACAUGGGGUUGACUCAGCAAGGCCUGAUGUAAGACUGCCCGCUGCCUAGCUACCUGCCAGCUUGGUGGAAUAUUAUUGGCCCUUACUCCUCACGUCUCCUUACCCCAUCCUAAGAUUCCCAUUCCCUAUCUCAACCCUAUAUAAGUUCCUGCCUGUUGGAAUAAAGUGAGAUCCUGCUUUGACAAGUCUCCCGACUCAGUGUGUGUUUCUCCCCAUACCUGGGGGGUUUCUGAGUUGUGGACACUCACCACCCCGCUCAGCCCCUUGAAGAGACUGGUUGGACUGGCCUUUCCCCAGCUCUACGUGCUGGAGGACCCAGAACUGUGCAUACUAUAUAUAGUUUUUCUUAUAUUAGUAUAGCCUUUUUUAUUUUUAGACAAAAAAGGGAUAUGUGGUGAUAUCUUGCUUGUACAAAUAAAACCUGUCUGAAUAUCAGAGGAUGGAGUUUGCCACUAACUAAUCAUGGGGUCUGGAUGUCUGUACAGACAGACAGGAAGUGAAAUGGCUGAGAGAAAAGAGGGAAGAAACAGGAACACACUUUCUUGUCUGCUGACAUGCAAAGGAGGUAAUUUUGGCUUUGGCUUGCUCCUUCUUCUCUCUGAUCUCUCAGCAUUUUCCUCUAUAUCUGACUCUGGGUUUUUAUUAUUGAGACCAAUUAAGAACUCCUUUUUAUAAACCUGGAUCCUCUGGAAGAGGAGCAAGUGCUCUUCAUACACUGAGCCAUCUCCC
ensembl:lncRNA